UUGUAGCAUACAAGGCAUACGGCUCAGUAACGCGUAGUCAACCUAACCUAUGGACGGGAAUAACCUCGGGAAACUGAGAAUAAUGCCCGAUAGAACACUAUACCUGGAAUGGUUUGUGUUCCAAAUGAUUUAUCGCCAUAGGAUGGGACUGCGGCCUAUCAGUUUGUUGGUGAGGUAAUGGCCCACCAAGACUAUUACAGGUACGGGCUCUGAGAGGAGUAGCCCGGAGAUGGGUACUGAGACACGGACCCAGGCCCUAUGGGGCGCAGCAGGCGAGAAAACUUUGCAAUGUGCGAAAGCACGACAAGGUUAAUCCGAGUGAUUUGUGCUAAACGAAUCUUUUGUUAGUCCUAGAAACACUAACGAAUAAGGGGUGGGCAAGUUCUGGUGUCAGCCGCCGCGGUAAAACCAGCACCUCAAGUGGUCAGGAUGAUUAUUGGGCCUAAAGCAUCCGUAGCCGGCUCUGUAAGUUUUCGGUUAAAUCUGUACGCUUAACGUACAGGCUGCCGGGAAUACUGCAAAGCUAGGGAGUGGGAGAGGUAGACGGUACUCGGUAGGAAGUGGUAAAAUGCUUUGAUCUAUCGAUGACCACCUGUGGCGAACGCGGUCUACCAGAACACGUCCGACGGUGAGGGAUGAAAGCUAGGGGAGCAACCGGAUUAGAUACCUGGUAGUCCCAGCUGUAACUAUGCAAGCUUCAGUUGAUGCAUGACUUUGUUGUCUGACUGCAGUCCUUGCCAA
rnacentral:rRNA from 1 species